UACGUAGGGUGCAAGCGUUCAUCGGAAUUACUGGGCGUAAAGCGUGCGCAGGCGGUUUUGUAAGUCUGUCGUGAAAGCCCCGGGCUCAACCUGGGAAUUGCGAUGGAGACUGCAAGGCUUGAAUCUGGCAGAGGGGGGUAGAAUUCCACGUGUAGCAGUGAAAUGCGUAGAGAUGUGGAGGAACACCGAUGGCGAAGGCAGCCCCCUGGGUCAAGAUUGACGCUCAUGCACGAAAGCGUGGGGAGCAAACAGG
rnacentral:rRNA from 1 species